rnacentral:rRNA from 1 species
UAAACGAUGUCGAUUUGGAGGUUGUUCCCUGAGGAGUGGCUUCCGGAGCUAACGCGUUAAAUCGACGCUGGGGAGUACGGCCGCAAGGUUAAAACUCAAAUGAAUUGACGGGGGCCCGCACAAGCGGUGGAGCAUGUGGUUUAAUUCGAUGCAACGCGAAGAACCUUACCUACUCUUGACAUCCAGAGAAUUUAGCAGAGAUGCUUUAGUGCCUUCGGGAACUCUGAGACAGGUGCUGCAUGGCUGUCGUCAGCUCGUGUUGUGAAAUGUUGGGUUAAGUCCCGCAACGAGCGCAACCCUUAUCCUUUGUUGCCAGCACAUUAUGGUGGGAACUCAAAGGAGACUGCCGGUGAUAAACCGGAGGAAGGUGGGGAUGACGUCAAGUCAUCAUGGCCCUUACGAGUAGGGCUACACACGUGCUACAAUGGCGUAUACAAAGAGAAGCGACCUCGCGAGAGCAAGCGGAACUCAUAAAGUACGUCGUAGUCCGGAUUGGAGUCUGCAACUCGACUCCAUGAAGUCGGAAUCGCUAGUAAUCGUAGAUCAGAAUGCUACGGUGAAUACGUUCCCGGGCCUUGUACACACCGCCCGUCACACCAUGGGAGUGGGUUGCAAAAGAAGUAGGUAGCUUAACCUUCGGGAGGGCGCUUACCACUUUGUGAUUCAUGACUGGGGUGAAGUCGUAACAAGGUAACCA